rnacentral:rRNA from 1 species
UACGUAGGGUGCAAGCGUUGUCCGGAAUUAUUGGGCGUAAAGAGCUCGUAGGCGGUUUGUUGCGUCGGCUGUGAAAACUCGGGGCUCAACUCCGAGCUUGCAGUCGAUACGGGCAGGCUAGAGUUCGGCAGGGGAGACUGGAAUUCCUGGUGUAGCGGUGAAAUGCGCAGAUAUCAGGAGGAACACCAGCGGCGAAGGCGGCGCUCUGGGCCGGUACUGACACUGAGGAGCGAAAGCGUGGGUAGCAAACAGG